rnacentral:rRNA from 1 species
GAUGAACGCUGACAGAAUGCUUAACACAUGCAAGUCCACUUGAAUUUGGGUUUUUAACUUAGGUUUGGGUGGCGGACGGGUGAGUAACGCGUAAAGAACUUGCCUCACAGCUAGGGACAACAUUUGGAAACGAAUGCUAAUACCUAAUAUUAUGAUAAUAGGGCAUCCUAUAAUUAUGAAAGCUAUAGGCGCUGUGAGAGAGCUUUGCGUCCCAUUAGCUAGUUGGAGAGGUAACGGCUCACCAAGGCGAUGAUGGGUAGCCGGCCUGAGAGGGUGAUCGGCCACAAGGGGACUGAGACACGGCCCUUACUCCUACGGGAGGCAGCAGUGGGGAAUAUUGGACAAUGGACCGAGAGUCUGAUCCAGCAAUUCUGUGUGCACGAUGAAGUUUUUCGGAAUGUAAAGUGCUUUCAGUUGGGAAGAAACAAAUGACGGUACCAACAGAAGAAGUGACGGCUAAAUACGUG